rnacentral:rRNA from 1 species
GACGAACGCUGGCGGCGUGCUUAACACAUGCAAGUCGAACGAAGCUUGAUUACGGAUUCUUCGGAUGACGUAUGAUAUGACUGAGUGGCGGACGGGUGAGUAACGCGUGAGUAACCUGCCCUUCAGAGGGGGAUAGCGUUUGGAAACGAACGGUAAUACCGCAUAAUGUAUUUUGACCGCAUGAUCGAAAUACCAAAGAUUUAUCGCUGAAGGAUGGACUCGCGUCUGAUUAGGUAGUUGGUGGGGUAACGGCCUACCAAGCCGACGAUCAGUAGCCGGACUGAGAGGUUGAUCGGCCACAUUGGGACUGAGACACGGCCCAGACUCCUACGGGAGACAGCAGUGGGGAAUAUUGCACAAUGGGCGCAAGCCUGAUGCAGCAACGCCGCGUGAAGGAAGACGGUUUUCGGAUUGUAAACUUCUGUUCUUAGUGAAGAAUAAUGACGGUAGCUAAGGAGCAAGCCACGGCUAACUACGUG